rnacentral:rRNA from 1 species
GACGAACGCUGGCGGCGUGCCUAAUACAUGCAAGUUGAGCGCUGAAGGUUGGUACUUGUACCAACUGGAUGAGCAGCGAACGGGUGAGUAACGCGUGGGGAAUCUGCCUUUGAGCGGGGGACAACAUUUGGAAACGAAUGCUAAUACCGCAUAAAAACUUUAAACACAGGUUUUAAGUUUGAAAGAUGCAAUUGCAUCACUCAAAGAUGAUCCCGCGUUGUAUUAGCUAGUUGGUGAGGUAAAGGCUCACCAAGGCGAUGAUACAUAGCCGACCUGAGAGGGUGAUCGGCCACAUUGGGACUGAGACACGGCCCAAACUCCUACGGGAGGCAGCAGUAGGGAAUCUUCGGCAAUGGACGAAAGUCUGACCGAGCAACGCCGCGUGAGUGAAGAAGGUUUUCGGAUCGUAAAACUCUGUUGGUAGAGAAGAACGUUGGUGAGAGUGGAAAGCUCAUCAAGUGACGGUAACUACCCAGAAAGGGACGGCUAACUACGUGCCAGCAGCCGUGGUAAUACGUAGGUCCCGAGCGUUGUCCGGAUUUAUUGGGCGUAAAGCGAGCGCAGGUGGUUUAUUAAGUCUGGUGUAAAAGGCAGUGGCUCAACCAUUGUAUGCAUUGGAAACUGGUAGACUUGAGUGCAGGAGAGGAGAGUGGAAUUCCAUGUGUAGCGGUGAAAUGCGUAGAUAUAUGGAGGAACACCGGUGGCGAAAGCGGCUCUCUGGCCUGUAACUGACACUGAGGCUCGAAAGCGUGGGGAGCAAACAGGAUUAGAUACCCUGGUAGUCCACGCCGUAAACGAUGAGUGCUAGAUGUAGGGAGCUAUAAGUUCUCUGUAUCGCAGCUAACGCAAUAAGCACUCCGCCUGGGGAGUACGACCGCAAGGUUGAAACUCAAAGGAAUUGACGGGGGCCCGCACAAGCGGUGGAGCAUGUGGUUUAAUUCGAAGCAACGCGAAGAACCUUACCAGGUCUUGACAUACUCGUGCUAUUCCUAGAGAUAGGAAGUUCCUUCGGGACACGGGAUACAGGUGGUGCAUGGUUGUCGUCAGCUCGUGUCGUGAGAUGUUGGGUUAAGCCCCGCAACGAGCGCAACCCCUAUUGUUAGUUGCCAUCAUUAAGUUGGGCACUCUAACGAGACUGCCGGUGAUAAACCGGAGGAAGGUGGGGAUGACGUCAAAUCAUCAUGCCCCUUAUGACCUGGGCUACACACGUGCUACAAUGGAUGGUACAACGAGUCGCGAGACAGUGAUGUUUAGCUAAUCUCUUAAAACCAUUCUCAGUUCGGAUUGUAGGCUGCAACUCGCCUACAUGAAGUCGGAAUCGCUAGUAAUCGCGGAUCAGCACGCCGCGGUGAAUACGUUCCCGGGCCU